UCUUCUUUCUCUUUAUUUUUAAGUCGGGAGAUAAGGCCUAUGUCCCCUCCCUUCAUAUAUACACUUUGAUUUCAAAUCAAUAAAGCAUGGUUGAGGGUUCCCAGACCCUCCCAUCGGGUCGAAGUUGAGGCCUAAAAAUCCUAUAGUAGGCUUUGUUGGUGUUUCAGCUAAAAAAUUUGCACGUGAAUUUUAGGUCAAAAUUCACCAAACUUAGCUAAUUUUUAGUCGCAAACAAGCAACCUUAGCUAAAUUAAGAGUGAGACCAAGUAAACUAAUAUCAAGAGCAACAUUAUUUUCAUUCUCUAGACAGUAAGUACAACUGUCUUGAUUGACAUAAAAAACUAAAGCUCAUUAUCACAUAUAAAAAUUACACUUUCCCUUGUGGCUGCACAAAGCUUCCAGGGUGGAUUUUCUUGUUCGUACUAGGUUUAGAUUUACUGUCAUCACCACUUUGUUUUUGUACCAUGCAGCCUGCUGCUCUAACUUUCAGCUCCUCCUUUCUCUUCAGUUUCUCCUUCUGGUUUUGCUGCUGCACAUAAACAUGGGCAUAACUUGCUCCUGUGGAAGACAUCGUUGUACAGAUUAAUAUUUACUGUCUGAAAUUGUUGAUUUGUUUAAAUGG
rnacentral:lncRNA from 1 species